UACGUAGGGUGCGAGCGUUGUCCGGAAUUAUUGGGCGUAAAGCGCACGUAGGCGGCUUUGUAAGUUAGAGGUGAAAGCCCAGGGCUUAACCCUGGAAUUGCCUUUAAGACUGCAUCGCUAGAAUCGUGGAGAGGUGAGUGGAAUUCCGAGUGUAGAGGUGAAAUUCGUAGAUAUUCGGAAGAACACCAGUGGCGAAGGCGACUCACUGGACACGUAUUGACGCUGAGGUGACGAAAGCGUGGGGAGCAAACAGG
rnacentral:rRNA from 1 species